ACUCCUACGGGAGGCAGCAGUGGGGAAUAUUGCACAAUGGGCGCAAGCCUGAUGCAGCAACGCCGCGUGAGGGACGACGGCCUUCGGGUUGUAAACCUCUUUUAGUAGGGAAGAAGCGAAAGUGACGGUACCUGCAGAAAAAGCACCGGCUAACUACGUGCCAGCAGCCGCGGUAAUACGUAGGGUGCAAGCGUUAUCCGGAAUUAUUGGGCGUAAAGAGCUCGUAGGCGGUUUGUCGCGUCUGCUGUGAAAACUGGAGGCUCAACCUCCAGCCUGCAGUGGGUACGGGCAGACUAGAGUGCGGUAGGGGAGAUUGGAAUUCCUGGUGUAGCGGUGGAAUGCGCAGAUAUCAGGAGGAACACCGAUGGCGAAGGCAGAUCUCUGGGCCGUAACUGACGCUGAGGAGCGAAAGCAUGGGGAGCGAACAGGAUUAGAUACCCUGGUAGUCCAUGCCGUAAACGUUGGGAACUAGAUGUAGGGACCAUUCCACGGUUUCUGUGUCGCAGCUAACGCAUUAAGUUCCCCGCCUGGGGAGUACGGCCCCCAGGCUUAAACUCAAAGGAAUUGACGGGGGCCCGCACAAGCGGCGGAGCAUGCGGAUUAAUUCGAUGCCACGCGAAGAACCUUACCAAGGCUUGACAUAUACCGGAAAAGUGCAAAAAUGUACUCCCCGCAAGGUCGGUAUACAGGUGGUGCAUGGUUGUCGUCAGCUCGUGUCGUGAGAUGUUGGGUUAAGUCCCGCAACGAGCGCAACCCUCGUUCUAUGUUGCCAGCACGUAAUGGUGGGAACUCAUAGGAGACUGCCGGGGUCAACUCGGA
rnacentral:rRNA from 1 species